UACGUAGGUGGCAAGCGUUGUCCGGAUUUACUGGGCGUAAAGAGCGCGCAGGCGGUCGUUCAAGUCGAGUGUGAAAGCCCCCGGCUCAACUGGGGAGGGUCACUCGAUACUGAUCGACUCGAAGGCAGAAGAGGGAAGCGGAAUUCCACGUGUAGCGGUGAAAUGCGUAGAUAUGCGGAGGAACACCGAUGGCGAAGGCAAUCCCCUGGGCCUGCACUGACGCUCAUGCACGAAAGCGUGGGGAGCAAACAGG
rnacentral:rRNA from 1 species